rnacentral:snRNA from 1 species
AGCUUUGUGCAGUGGCAGUAUCAUAGCCAAUGAGGUUUAUCCCAGGCCCGAUUAUUUCUAAUCGAAGAUUGGUUGAUAAGA